GACGUAGGGCGCGAGCGUUGUCCGGAUUUAUUGGGCGUAAAGAGCUCGUAGGCGGCUUGUCGCGUCGGCUGUGAAAACCCGCGGCUCAACUGUGGGCGGGCAGCUGAUACGGGCAGGCUGGAGUUCGGUAGGGGAGACUGGAAUUCCUGGUGUAGCGGUGAAAUGCGCAGAUAUCAGGAGGAACACCGGUGGCGAAGGCGGGUCCCUGGACAACACCUGACACUGAGGCACGAAAGCUAGGGGAGCAAACAGG
rnacentral:rRNA from 1 species